rnacentral:lncRNA from 1 species
AAUGCUCCAGAGGUGGAUGCAAGGGAAAUUGUCUAAGGAAGGUCACUUUGCUCAUAUGUAACUUCUUCAACUAAUGAGUUACAAUACAAAGACACAAUAACAGUUUUACAAGUUCAUAUGUCGUUCCAGGAAAUGAUACUAAUCAUGUAAAUACACUUCAACAUUUCAUGUUAUCCUACACCUAGUUUGAGGAGAAUGGUGUUCUUUCGUCGUUCCACGAAAUGAUACUAAUCAUGUAAAUACACUUCACAAUUUCAUGUUAUCCUCCACCUUGUUUGAGGAGAAUGAUGUUCUUUCUGAGGUUACACUAAGCACUAAAAUGUUGAAGAACCACAACCCAAGUCUUUUAAUUUGUUAAUUUUACCCGACCUUGUGCAUCAGGACAAACACUCCCCAUAGCAUUGAUCUCCGGUUAUAACCAUGUCAAAUAUUUUGCGUAUAUAAAUUCUCCUAGCAUU